GGAGAUGGUUUGGAUUGGGUUAGCUUAGACGUGCAGCCACCCUCUCGCACUUCUUCAAGAGAUGUAAUUGCUUGCUUCCAUACUUAUACCAACGCCAGGACCAGCUGUGAGUAUAUACACAACUUUGCCCCUUUACGAAGUUUUUUUUGGAUGGAAGCUGCGGUGAAAAUGGAGGGAAUGAUAGAUAGUUAAUUAGGUUAGGCGAGUGAGGUUUAAGCUAAUAAUGCUUCUUUUGGAGUGUUCUCUCGGUUGACAAUCUUGAAGAAGCUCAUAGAAUAUUUGCUUGAACUGAUCUAGUGGCUUCUCCUAAUGUGCUCUUUCUAGUGCUGAAAGUGUUGCAUAUUCUGCUAAUGCCAUGUCUAGUAGGCUAUUAAGUCUUAUUUAGGGAUUUACAGUCUUCUUUGAUGUUCUGUCUGCCUUCCGUCUCUCUCUCUCUCCCUUUAUCAAAUUCGCUCACUUUUUUUCUCCACCAAGCUAUCCGUGAGUCAUUUUGUUGACUCAAGAGGGUUCAUAGACCUUGAAUAUCAUGCAAGGCUUUCAAUGUCCUACCCUAUAUGAUGAAGACGUUGAGGUUUUUGAAUAAUUGGAUCAAGUCUCUCAUUGGUUGAGCAAGAUCUCUCCCACGGUGGAUCAUUGUCGGACUCCACUAUUAUUCCACCAUGUUUGAUUCACUUGUGGGGGCAUAAUCUGCCGGCCGAUGACUUUCUGUAUGGGUAAACCAACAAUACACUGGAAAUUGUUGCAGCCUUGCAGGCCCUGCAAGAUGAUAAUAUUGUAGUUAAAAUAUUCUUUUUGUGGAAACCAUUUAUGUUUGUUAUGGAAGAACAUCAAAAUUCUAUUCACUAUACUAAAAAAAUCCCUUAAAUUUACUUCUUUAUACCAGAAUUUUUUUUUAAACAAAAAAUCCAAUUCAUAAUUAACAAUAUUGUCUAAAGGUUGAUUAUAGUAAGUAAAAUCUAAUCAAAUAAUUCACUGUAAAAUUCCAAUAAACUUGAAAGCUUCAGCUGUUCUUUUUUAUUCCAGGAAUUAGCUAAAUACUGGAUAUAAAAAUAUUGGAACAGCACAUGUCAUCUGCUUCUCAAUUAUUGAUCCAGGCAGCUUAGGAUUUGUCUCUUGGUCUGACUGUGAAACGUGUCGGAUUAAAUAGACGAAAGGGAGGCC
rnacentral:lncRNA from 1 species